UACGGAGGGUGCGAGCGUUAAUCGGAAUUACUGGGCGUAAAGGGUGCGUAGGUGGUUGAAUAAGUUAUCUGUGAAAUUCCUGGGCUUAACCUGGGCCGGUCAGAUAAUACUGUUUAACUGGAGUAUGGGAGAGGGUAGUGGAAUUUCCGGUGUAGCGGUGAAAUGCGUAGAGAUCGGAAGGAACACCAGUGGCGAAGGCGGCUACCUGGCCCAAUACUGACACUGAGGCACGAAAGCGUGGGGAGCAAACAGG
rnacentral:rRNA from 1 species